GCCAGCCAUGGUGGCACAUGCCUGUAAACCCAGUUACUGGGGAUGCUGAUGUUGGUGGAUCUGUUGAUCCUGGACAUCCUGAGCUGCAGUGGGCUAUGACGAUUGGGUGUCUGCAGUAAGUCCAGUAUUAACACGAGUGCCUGGGAGGGCACUAAAGUUUCCUAAGAAGGGGCAAACCUGCCCAGGCCAGAAAUGGAACAGGUCAAAGUUUCCUUGCCACUCAGGAGUGGGAUCAGGCCUACUAGUGGCCCCUGUAUUUCCAGCCUGUGUGAGAUGGGGAGACCCAGUCUUUA
ensembl:misc_RNA Metazoa_SRP Metazoan signal recognition particle RNA